GAAUAAUUGAGGUCAUGGAGAAGGAUGAAUCAGCAGGGAACGAAGUCCUAUGAAUUCUGCCCAGCAGAAUGACUCAGAAACUGCCUGGAAAACCUCAAGGAAAUGGCUUCUGUCAACAACCCAAAGGGAAUCUGGAAGCAGAUAAGAAUCUGUACCUUGUUGAGCUCCCAGAUGAAACCACAGCCCAGGUCAACAUCUCGAUUUCAACCCUGAGACCUUGAUCAGAGAAUCCAGCUAAACCAUGCAUGGACUCCUGACCCACAGAAACUGAGAUAAUAAAAUGAGUGUUGUUUAGA